GGUGCACUGUGGGACAAAAGGUGCAUCUUUUUAUCCCAUCUAAAAAGGUGGGACAAGGACUUGCUUUUACUCUCUGUCUGUGCAAAAGACGUAAAUGCCCUCCGAUUCAGUCUAGUGUUGUCCCUUGUAACAACUUUAGCUUAAAGUUUGAUACAAAGCUCUAACACGCCAUGUUUUAUAAUUCAUGCAGGACAAUAAACGCAAGUUGUCUUCCACGGUAUUAAGCAAGUUCUUAUGUGUGAUUGUUGGAGGCUUAGUAGCAGAGUAUCUUACGUAUGGAUACUCAAAAGGACAUCACGGUGACGUGGAGAAAGUGUGUUCUUCAUGUUUCAUCUCAUCUUAUAGAAGAGCUUAGGGUGCGUUUGGUUGUGGAAAACUGUUUUCAUUUUCCAAGAAAAUGUUUUCAAAAAAUAGAGUUGGGUUUUUAUUUUCGAUUUUCAAUAAAAGUUUUAGAAAAAACGUUUGGUUGGAAACGGUGGAGUUUUCAUUUUCCAUCUUAGAAAUUUAGAAAAUUUUGGAAAAUUGUAAAAAUUAUUUUUCUAAUUUACAUACCAUUUGGAAAAAUGAAAAUUUUCAUUUUCUUAGAAAAUUUUGGAAAAUUGAAUAAACCGAACGCAUUUUCAAAAUUUCCGUUUUCCUUGGAAAACUUUCUAGGUUUCUUAAAAAAUUUUCCACAACCAAACGCACCCUUAUAUUUUCUAUUUUUUUGGGAUUAAACCUCAUCUUUAUUUUUUUCCCUUGAAAAUGACCUUGUAUUUUUUUUCAUUUUUUCCAAAAAAACCCUAAACUUUGUCUUUUUGUUCCAAAAAGACCCUCAACCUUCUAACCGUUUCCCAAUAAACCCUUAAUUUUUUUAGUUUUUCUCGAAAAAGCCCUCACAUUUUUAAGUUUUUUUGGGCAAAAAUGACUAAAGAGCCAGAUCGGAAAAAAAUGAAAAAAUGCAAGGUUUUUUUCAAGGAAAAAAAAUAAAGUUAAGGUUUAAUCCGGAAAAAACAAAAAAUAUAAUCCUACAAUUAGACAAAGUGGGAAAAAAUGAGAGGACUAGACAAACUUUCUAAGUCUAUUUUCGACGAUGAGGAUGAGCAGCGCUUUUAUGUCUUUUGCACAGAUGAGAGCUCAAGCCUUGUGAGUCCCUCCCACGUUAUUCCACCUUUUCGGGUGGGACAAAAAAUUACUUACAAAAGAUCGAGAAGGGCAUUCAUGUCUUUUUCACCCACGGGCGACUGAGAGCGUGUGUAUAUUAUUUGACAUUUUGACAUUUUGACAUUUUUUAGAAGGCAAGAAAUUAUAAUUUUUGUCACAAUGGACACCAUCACACCAAACUCCAUUUUAUAAACAAGAGAUCGAGAAGGGCACUCACGUCUUUUGAACAGACGAGAGACCGAGGGCGAUUGGGCAUGGUGCUUAAAUGGUUGCAAUUCACUGAAGAUGAAGCAGAUGCUCUGAUCAGAUGGAGUGUACUGAACACGCUCGUGAUAUUGCAUCAUCAUAGUGAAGCUAGAUUAGCGUUAGUGGAGGCCAUGACACGUGGAAGAUCAAUUGGAAAUUGCAUUGAUGUGAUAGAAACCACUCUAAACUAUCAAGACGUUUAAACAUCUCACAUCUUCAUUAUCAUCAUGUUCAAGAUUAUUUGACCUAACCUCAACUGACAAUUUUACACCAUCUGGAAAUCCUCAAUUUGUUACUGUUAAAACCUUUGGUACAGUUAUAUUGUUCUAUAUAUAGCAUUAUAAAUUUAUCAAUUGAAAAUUUGUGUAA